UCAAAAUUUUAGGGAAUGAACGUAUCCCGGAUUGUACUCACCUUCCAUAAUCAAUUUGGAUUCAAAUUGAGUAAAAUGUGGUUUACCUAUUUCUCGUCACCGAACCAGCAUUUCAUCGAACCGAUCAGACCUUCAGAGAACGGCAGCGAAGGAAGGUUUUGGCGAAGCCCCAUUUUCUUGUUUCAAGGAACAGACAAAACUAAAUUGCAGAUUCACUAAGUGACACUUCAGUUUCACCAUUAAAGAAUCCGACUUAGACAAAACCUCUCCUUGAAUCACACUUUGACAAAGGAAAAGCAGUAGUUCAAGAUGAUACAGAAGACAAAGGAAAAACAGUAGUUCAGGAAAUAUGGCAGAAGUUGAGAUGGAGGAGGAGGAGACUAGCGAACAAGCACAGGUCCACAAAGUUCGAAAGAAGAAGCGUCCAGCAAAACCUCAACCCCCGGGGCAGAAGCAGCCAGAAAAUGAACAAGGUCAUCUCUUCAAAAGGAUAUCACAAAGUCGAAAGGUCAUCCCUUGUGUGGUUACAUUGAUAUUAUUUUUUCAAUUAUUGUUUUUGCUUGACUAACAAUAUAUAUUCACAGCAUGAGACGUGGCAAUGAUUGCAAGCACUAGUUCGGGGGUGAGAAAGGACAAGGGGAAAGAUCCAAUGCCUAUAGAUAAGACAAUGAAGAGCCAAGAUUGUUCACCAAAGGAUGUGACUGAUGAGGGUGGUGAUAAGUCGCAGGCUGUCGACGGUGUAAGUCUGUGUGAUGGGAAGUUAUGGCGUUGUACGGACAAAGUGGGCUGAUACUACAAACUUUGAAGACAACGGAAUUUACCUAAUGCGGCAUUUAGAAACUUUCAUGGCGAUGCUUCUUCAAGUUGGAAAUGCAUGCGUGCCAGUUCGAUUAAUAAACAACUUCGAGUUAUGCGAGUGCGAUAUUGUGCUGCAUUGGUUAAUAGGGAAAGGUAAUGAAAUUGGUGACAAUAUUGCAAAGGAGGCCUCAGUGCAUUAUACAGAGGUUUGCAUGAACUCAAAAAUGAAUGUUAACUUGUUGUUGAUUGGUUAAACAAGCAUUUAUUUAUAUUUAUAAGGUUUGAGACA